UGUCCUGACACCAGUAGUCAUAUGCUUGGCUCAAAGAUUAUGCCAUGCAUGUCUAAGUAUAAUCAAAUUUGUACUGUGAAACUGCGAAUGGCUCAUUAAAUCAGUUAUAGUUUAUUUGAUGUUACCUUGCUACAUGGAUAACUGUGGUAAUUCUAGAGCUAAUACAUGCAAUCAAGCCCCAACUUCUGGAAGGGGUGUAUUUAUUAGAUAAAAAACCAACAUGGCUCACUGCUCCCUGGGUGAUUCAUAAUAACUUCUUGAAUCACAUGGCCUUGUGCUGGCGAUGCUUCAUUCAAAUAUCUGCCCUAUCAACUUUUGAUGGUAGGAUAGAGGCCUACCAUCGUUUCAAUGGGUAACAGGGAAUAAGGGUUCGAUUCUGGAGAGGGAGCCUGAGAAAUGGCUACCACAUCCAAGGAAGGCAGCAGGAAUGCAAAUUACCCAAUCCCGACAUGGGGAGGUAGUGACAAUAAAUAACAAUAUAGGGCUCUUUUGGGUCUUAUAAUUGGAAUGAGUACAAUUUAAAUCCCUUAAUGAGGAACAAUUGGAGGGCAAGCAGCCAUGGUAAUUCCAGCUCCAAUAGUGUAUAUUAAAGUUGUUGCAGUUAAAAAGCUUGUAGUUGAACUUCAGACCUGGUUGGGCAGUCCGCCUCACAGUGUGUACUAUCUGACUGUGCCUUACCUCUUGGUGAGCUGGUGUGCCCUUUAUUGGUGUGCAUCGGGGAACCAGGACUUUUACCUUGAGAAAAUUAGAGUGUUCAAAGCAGGCUUAUGCCCAAAUACAUUAGCAUGGAAUAAUAAAAUAGGACCUGCGGUUCUAUGUUGUUGGUUUCUAGAGUCACCGUAAUGAUUAAUAGGGAUAGUUGGGGGCAUUGGUAUUGAGUCGCUAGAGGUGAAAUUCUUGGAUUGACUCAAGACCAACUACUGUGAAAGCAUUUGCCAAGGAUGUUUUCAUUAAUCAAGAAUGAAGGUUAGGGGAUCGAAAACGACCAGAUACCGUUGUAGUCUUAACAGUAAACUAUGCCAACUAGGGAUUGGGCAAUCUCAAUAAAUAUGUGUCACUCAGAACCUUACAAGAAAUCAAAGUCUUUGGGUUCUGGGGGGAGUAUGGUCACAAGGCUGAAACUUAAAGGAAUUGACAGAAGGGCACCACCAGGUGUGGAGCCUGCAGCUUAAUUUGACUCAACACAGGGAAACUCACCAGGUCCAGACAUAACUAGGAUUGACAGAUUGAUAGCUCUUUCAUGAUUUUAUGGGUGGUGGUGCAUGGCCAUUCUUAGUUGGUGGAGUGAUUUAUCUGGUUAAUUCCGAUAAUGAACAAGACCUUAACCUGCUAAAGAGCCAGGCCGGCUUUUGCGGGUCGCUGGUUUCUUAGAGGGACUGGCAGCAUCUAGCUGACAGAAGUUUGGGGCUAUAACAGGUCUGUGAUGUUCAGGCG
rnacentral:rRNA from 1 species